rnacentral:rRNA from 1 species
GACGAACGCUGGCGGCGUGCUUAACACAUGCAAGUUGAACGAGAAUUUUUCAGUUGAUCUCUUCGGAAUGAAACGGAAAAAGGAAAGUAGCGAACGGGUGAGUAACACGUGAGAAACCUGCCUUUCACAAAGGGAUAGCCUCGGGAAACCGGGAUUAAUACCUUAUGAUACAUUAAUAUCGCAUGAUGUAAAUGUUAAAGAAUUUCGGUGAAAGAUGGUCUCGCGUCUGAUUAGCUAGUUGGUAAGGUAGUGGCUUACCAAGGCAACGAUCAGUAGCCGGAUUGAGAGGUUGAACGGCCACACUGGAACUGAGACACGGUCCAGACUCCUACGGGAGGCAGCAGUGGGAAUUUGCACAAUGGGGGAAACCCUGAUGCAGCGACGCCGCGUGAACGAUGAAGGUCUUCGGAUUGUAACAGUUCUGUCCUUAGCGAAGAUAAUGACCAGUAGCUAAGAAGCAAAGCCCUGGCUAAAUACGUGCCAGCAGCCCGCGGUAAUACGUAUGGGGCAAGCGUUGUCCGGAACUUAUUCGGGCGUCACAGGGUAUGGUCACGNGCGGGUUAACCUCCAGUCUGAAUUUCACCAGGCUGGUGGGCUCAACCUACCGGCCGGGUUCAGAAACCUGGUUAACUUGAGUUCACAUCACGGGCACCGUGGGAAUUCCCUGUGUUCGCGGUGGAAACUUGGCGUCAGCAUAUAUUCGGAGGAACCCCCAAGUGGGCCAAAGGGCGAACUUUCCU